GGUCAAGCGAACAAGUGCAUGUGGUGGAUGCCUUGGCGAUCACAGGCGAUGAAGGACGCGGUAGCCUGCGAAAAGCUACGGGGAGCUGGCAAACAAGCUUUGAUCCGUAGAUGUCCGAAUGGGGAAACCCACUCCUUUUGGAGUAUCCAUGGCUGAAUACAUAGGCCAUGUGAAGCGAACGCGGUGAACUGAAACAUCUAAGUAACCGCAGGAAAAGAAAUCAACCGAGAUUCCCAAAGUAGUGGCGAGCGAAAUGGGAUGAGCCUUGUACUCUUUAUUUGUAUUGUUAGCUGAACGCUCUGGAAAGUGCGGCCAUAGCGGGUGAUAGCCCCGUAAGCGAAAACAGUAUGAAAGAACUAAGUGUACGACAAGUAGGGCGGGACACGUGAAAUCCUGUCUGAAGAUGGGGGGACCAUCCUCCAAGGCUAAAUACUCGUGAUCGACCGAUAGUGAACCAGUACCGUGAGGAAAGGCGAAAAGAACCCCGGGAGGGGAGUGAAAUAGAUCCUGAAACCGCAUGCAUACAAACAGUCGGAGCCUCGUAAGGGGUGACGGCGUACCUUUUGUAUAAUGGGUCAGCGACUUACGUUCAGUAGCAAGCUUAACCGUAUAGGGCAGGCGUAGCGAAAGCGAGUCCGAAUAGGGCGUUCAGUUGCUGGGCGUAGACCCGAAACCAAGUGAUCUAUCCAUGGCCAGGAUGAAGGUGCGGUAACACGUACUGGAGGUCCGAACCCACUAACGUUGAAAAGUUAGGGGAUGAGCUGUGGAUAGGGGUGAAAGGCUAAACAAACUUGGAAAUAGCUGGUUCUCUCCGAAAACUAUUUAGGUAGUGCCUCGUGUCUCACCUUCGGGGGUAGAGCACUGUCAUGGUUGGGGGGUCUAUUGCAGAUUACCCCGCCAUAGCAAACUCCGAAUACCGAAGAGUGCAAUCACGGGAGACAGACAUCGGGUGCUAACGUCCGGUGUCAAGAGGGAAACAACCCAGACCGCCAGCUAAGGUCCCCAAAUAUAGCUAAGUGGGAAACGAAGUGGGAAGGCUAAAACAGUCAGGAGGUUGGCUUAGAAGCAGCCACCCUUUAAAGAAAGCGUAAUAGCUCACUGAUCGAGUCGUCCUGCGCGGAAGAUGUAACGGGGCUAAGCUAUAUACCGAAGCUGCGGAUGCGUGCUUUGCACGCAUGGUAGGAGAGCGUUCCGUAAGCCUGCGAAGGUGCGUUGAAAAGCGUGCUGGAGGUAUCGGAAGUGCGAAUGCUGACAUGAGUAGCGAUAAAGGGGGUGAAAGGCCCCCUCGCCGUAAGCCCAAGGUUUCCUACGCAACGUUCAUCGGCGUAGGGUGAGUCGGCCCCUAAGGCGAGGCAGAAAUGCGUAGCUGAUGGGAAGCAGGUCAAUAUUCCUGCACCAUUGUUAGAUGCGAUGGGGGGACGGAUCGCGGAAGGUUGUCCGGGUGUUGGAAGUCCCGGUCGCUGCAUUGGAGAAGGCGCUUAGGCAAAUCCGGGGCGUAAUUCAAGGGUGUGGCGCGAGCUCCUUAGGGAGCGAAGCAAUUGGAAGUGGUUCCAAGAAAAGCCUCUAAGCUUCAGUCUAACGAUGACCGUACCGCAAACCGACACAGGUGGGCGAGAUGAGUAUUCUAAGGCGCUUGAGAGAACUCGGGAGAAGGAACUCGGCAAAUUGGUACCGUAACUUCGGGAUAAGGUACGCCCUUGUAGCUUGAUGCCCCUGCGGGCAGAGGGUGAAGGGGUUGCAAUAAACUGGUGGCUGCGACUGUUUAAUAAAAACACAGCACUCUGCAAACACGAAAGUGGACGUAUAGGGUGUGACGCCUGCCCGGUGCCGGAAGAUUAAAUGAUGGGGUGCAAGCUCUUGAUUGAAGUCCCGGUAAACGGCGGCCGUAACUAUAACGGUCCUAAGGUAGCGAAAUUCCUUGUCGGGUAAGUUCCGACCUGCACGAAUGGCGUAACGAUGGCCACACUGUCUCCUCCCGAGACUCAGCGAAGUUGAAGUGUUUGUGAUGAUGCAAUCUACCCGCGGCUAGACGGAAAGACCCCAUGAACCUUUACUGUAGCUUUGCAUUGGACUUUGAACCGAUCUGUGUAGGAUAGGUGGGAGGCUAUGAAACCGGAACGCUAGUUUCGGUGGAGCCGUCCUUGAAAUACCACCCUGGUUUGUUUGAGGUUCUAACCUUGGCCCGUGAUCCGGGUCGGGGACAGUGCAUGGUAGGCAGUUUGACUGGGGCGGUCUCCUCCCAAAGCGUAACGGAGGAGUACGAAGGUACGCUAGGUACGGUCGGAAAUCGUGCUGAUAGUGCAAUGGCAUAAGCGUGCUUAACUGCGAGACCGACAAGUCGAGCAGGUGCGAAAGCAGGUCAUAGUGAUCCGGUGGUUCUGUAUGGAAGGGCCAUCGCUCAACGGAUAAAAGGUACUCUGGGGAUAACAGGCUGAUACCGCCCAAGAGUUCAUAUCGACGGCGGUGUUUGGCACCUCGAUGUCGGCUCAUCUCAUCCUGGGGCUGUAGCCGGUCCCAAGGGUAUGGCUGUUCGCCAUUUAAAGAGGUACGUGAGCUGGGUUUAAAACGUCGUGAGACAGUUUGGUCCCUAUCUGCCGUGGGCGUUGGAUAUUUGAAGGGGGCUGCUCCUAGUACGAGAGGACCGGAGUGGACGAACCUCUGGUGUACCGGUUGUCACGCCAGUGGCAUCGCCGGGUAGCUAUGUUCGGAAGAGAUAACCGCUGAAAGCAUCUAAGCGGGAAACUCGCCUUAAGAUGAGAUAUCCCUGGGGACUAGAUCCCCUUGAAGGGUCGUUCGAGACCAGGACGUUGAUAGGUCAGGUGUGUAAGCGCAGUAAUGCGUUCAGCUAACUGAUACUAAUUGCCCGUAAGGCUUGAUCCU
rnacentral:rRNA from 1 species